GACGAACGCUGGCGGCGUGCUUAACACAUGCAAGUCGAACGGAAAGGCCCUUCGGGGUACUCGAGUGGCGAACGGGUGAGUAACACGUGGGUGAUCUGCCCUGCACUUUGGGAUAAGCCUGGGAAACUGGGUCUAAUACCGAAUAGGACCGCGCGCUUCAUGGUGUGUGGUGGAAAGCUUUUGCGGUGUGGGAUGGGCCCGCGGCCUAUCAGCUUGUUGGUGGGGUAAUGGCCUACCAAGGCGACGACGGGUAGCCGGCCUGAGAGGGUGACCGGCCACACUGGGACUGAGAUACGGCCCAGACUCCUACGGGAGGCAGCAGUGGGGAAUAUUGCACAAUGGGCGCAAGCCUGAUGCAGCGACGCCGCGUGAGGGAUGACGGCCUUCGGGUUGUAAACCUCUUUCACCAGGGACGAAGCGCAAGUGACGGUACCUGGAGAAGAAGCACCGGCCAACUACGUG
rnacentral:rRNA from 1 species